rnacentral:rRNA from 1 species
GAUGAACGCUGGCGGCGUGCCUAAUACAUGCAAGUCGAGCGAACAGACGAGGAGCUUGCUCCUCUUACGUUAGCGGCGGACGGGUGAGUAACACGUGGAUAACCUACCUAUAAGACUGGGAUAACUUCGGGAAACCGGAGCUAAUACCGGAUAAUAUAUUGAACCGCAUGGUUCAUUAGUGAAAGACGGUUUUGCUGUCACUUAUAGAUGGAUCCGCGCCGCAUUAGCUAGUUGGUAAGGUAACGGCUUACCAAGGCAACGAUGCGUAGCCGACCUGAGAGGGUGAUCGGCCACACUGGAACUGAGACACGGUCCAGACUCCUACGGGAGGCAGCAGUAGGGAAUCUUCCGCAAUGGGCGAAAGCCUGACGGAGCAACGCCGCGUGAGUGAUGAAGGUCUUCGGAUCGUAAAACUCUGUUAUUAGGGAAGAACAAAUGUGUAAGUAACUAUGCACGUCUUGACGGUACCUAAUCAGAAAGCCACGGCUAACUACGUG